rnacentral:misc_RNA from 1 species
GAUGAAGAACGUAGCGAAAUGCGAUACUUGGUGUGAAUUGCAGAAUCCCGUGAACCAUCGAGUCUUUGAACGCAAGUUGCGCCCGAAGCCAUUAGGCCGAGGGCACGCCUGCCUGGGCGUCACACGUCGUUGCCCCCCCAUCUACUCCUUCGGGAUUGCGGGGGGCGGAUGAUGGCCUCCCGUGCGCCUCGUCGCGCGGUUGGCAUAAAUACCAAGUCCUCGGCGACGCACGCCACGUCAAUCGGUGGUUGCGAAACCUCGGUUGCCCGUCGUGUGCGGUCGUCGCGCAUCGAGGGCUCGAAAAAAUUGCCGGGCUCCGGCUCGGCUUUCAACGCGACCCCAGGUCAGGCGGGGUUACCCGCUGAAUUUAAGCAUAUCAAUAAGCGGAGGA